rnacentral:rRNA from 1 species
UCAAGAAGAGAAGGGCGCACGGUGAAUGCCUGGGCACUAGAAGCCGAAGAAGGACGUGACGAACCACGAAAGGCUACGGAGAGCCGUAAGUAAGCUAAGACCCGUAGAUAUCCGAAUGGGGGAACCCGGUGCAGAGAUGCAUCAUUAAAUACUGUUAAGGUAUUUAAAGGAAGACGCAGUGAACUGAAACAUCUAAGUAGCUGCAGGAAGAGAAAGAAAAAUCGAUUUCCUAAGUAGCGGCGAGCGAAAGGGAAAGAGCCCAAACCAGUGAAUUUAUUCAUUGGGGUUGUAGGACUACGAUAUGAGACAGAGAGGUAUAGUUGAAGUCUUUGGGAAAAGACGCCAGAGAGGGUGAGAGCCCCGUAAGCGAAAUAGCUCGAAGCUCUAGUAGGAUCCUGAGUAGGCCGGGACACGAGGAAUCCCGGUUGAAGCAGCGAGGACCAUCUCGCAAGGCUAAAUACUAACUAGUGACCGAUAGUGAACCAGUACCGUGAGGGAAAGGUGAAAAGAACCCCGGAAGGGGAGUGAAAGAGAACCUGAAACCGUGUGCCUACAAGUAGUCAAAGCACAUUAAAGUGUAAUGGCGUGCCUUUUGUAGAAUGAACCGGCGAGUUACGUUAAGUAGCGAGGUUAAGACAGAAAAGUCGGAGCCGCAGCGAAAGCGAGUCUGAAUAGGGCGAGCAGUUACUUGACGUAGACCCGAAACCAAGUGACCUACCCAUGUCCAGGUUGAAGGCUAGGUAAAACUGGCUGGAGGACCGAACCCACGUAAGUUAAAAAUUGCGGGGAUGAGGUGUGGGUAGCGGUGAAAUUCCAAACGAACUUGGAGAUAGCUGGUUCUCUCCGAAAUAGCUUUAGGGCUAGCCUCGCGAGAGAGGAUAAUGGAGGUAGAGCACUGUUUGGACUAGGGGCCCGUCAGGGGUUACUGAAUCCAGAUAAACUCCGAAUUCCAUAUAUCUAUACGCGGGAGUCAGACUGCGAGUGAUAAGAUCCGUAGUCGAAAGGGAAACAGCCCAGAUCACCAGUUAAGGUCCCCAAAUCUAUGCUAAGUGGAAAAGGAUGUGGAGUUGCGUAGACAACUAGGACGUUGGCUUAGAAGCAGCCAUCAUUCAAAGAGUGCGUAAUAGCUCACUAGUCGAGUGGCGCUGCGCCGAAAAUUUACCGGGGCUAAGCAUAGUACCGAAACUGUGGAUGUGCGAAAGCACGUGGUAGGAGAGCGUUCUAAGUGCGGUGAAGUCUAAUCGAGAGGAUAGAUGGAGCGCUUAGAAGUGAGAAUGCCGGUAUGAGUAGCGAAAGAUAGGUGAGAAUCCUAUCCGCCGAAAGACUAAGGUUUCCUGGGGCAGGCUCGUCCGCCCAGGGUAAGUCGGGACCUAAGGUAAGGCCGAGAGGCGUAGCCGAUGGACAACAGGUUGAGAUUCCUGUACUAAUAUUAAUCGUUAAGAGCAAUGGAGGGACGCAGUAGGCUAAUGGCGCAUGUAACUGGAAUCAUGUGUAAGCGUCAAGGCUUGAAGUGAGUCAAAUGCUUGCUUCUAAAAGGCUGAGGCGUGAUGCGGAGCGAAAUAAAGUAGCGAAGGUCAUGAUGUCACACUGCCGAGAAAAGCUUCUAGCCAGAGAGAUAUUACCCGUACCGCAAACCGACACAGGUAGUCGAGGAGAGAAUCCUCAGGUGAGCGAGAGAACUCUCGUUAAGGAACUCGGCAAAAUGACCCCGUAACUUCGGGAGAAGGGGUGCUGAUCUCCGGAUCAGCCGCAGUGAAUAGGCCCAAACAACUGUUUAUCAAAAACACAGGUAUCUGCAAAAUCGUAAGAUGACGUAUAGGUGCUGACACCUGCCCGGUGCUGGAAGGUUAAGAGGAGAGCUUAGCGUAAGCGAAGGUUUGAAUUGAAGCCCCAGUAAACGGCGGCCGUAACUAUAACGGUCCUAAGGUAGCGAAAUUCCUUGUCGGGUAAGUUCCGACCUGCACGAAAGGUGUAAUGA